rnacentral:rRNA from 1 species
UACGUAGGGUGCGAGCGUUGUCCGGAAUUACUGGGCGUAAAGAGUUCGUAGGCGGUUUGUUGCGUCUGCUGUGAAAUCCCGGGGCUUAACCCCGGGCGUGCAGUGGAUACGGGCUGGCUGGAGGCAGGCAGGGGAGAACGGAAUUCCUGGUGUAGCGGUGAAAUGCGCAGAUAUCAGGAGGAACACCGGUGGCGAAGGCGGUUCUCUGGGCCUGUACUGACGCUGAGGAGCGAAAGCGUGGGGAGCGAACAGG